AGCGCACCUUCGGGUGAGCGGCGGACGGGUUAGUAACGCGUGGGAACAUACCCUUUGGUACGGAAUAGCCUCUGGAAACGGAGAGUAAUACCGUAUGAGCCCUUCGGGGGAAAGAUUUAUCGCCAAAGGAUUGGCCCGCGUUAGAUUAGGUAGUUGGUGGGGUAAUGGCCUACCAAGCCUACGAUCUAUAGCUGGUUUUAGAGGAUGAUCAGCAACACUGGGACUGAGACACGGCCCAGACUCCUACGGGAGGCAGCAGUGGGGAAUCUUGGACAAUGGGGGCAACCCUGAUCCAGCCAUGCCGCGUGAGUGAUGAAGGCCUUAGGGUCGUAAAGCUCUUUCGCCUGUGAAGAUAAUGACGGUAGCAGGUAAAGAAACCCCGGCUAACUCCGUGCCAGCAGCCGCGGUAAUACGGAGGGGGUUAGCGUUGUUCGGAAUUACUGGGCGUAAAGCGCACGUAGGCGGACUGGAAAGUUGGGGGUGAAAUCCCAGGGCUCAACCCUGGAACUGCCUCCAAAACUAUCAGUCUAGAGUUCGAGAGAGGUGAGUGGAAUUCCGAGUGUAGAGGUGAAAUUCGUAGAUAUUCGGAGGAACACCAGUGGCGAAGGCGGCUCACUGGCUCGAUACUGACGCUGAGGUGCGAAAGUGUGGGGAGCAAACAGGAUUAGAUACCCUGGUAGUCCACACCGUAAACGAUGAAUGCCAGUCGUCGG
rnacentral:rRNA from 1 species